UUUAGGUAUCCAUUAUCAGAGAAAGCUUUACCACACUCAGGGCAGCUGAAAGGUUUCUCUCCUGUGUGAGUCAUCAUGUGUGACUGUAAAUAUCCACUCCGUGUAAAAGAUUUCUUACAGACUGAGCAGCUAAAAGGUUUCUCUCCUGUGUGAGUCAUCAUGUGUCUCUUCAGAUCUGACUUGAAGCCAAAUCUUCUCCCACACUCAGAGCAGCUGAAUGUUUUCUUACAUCUUG